UUAAUUUGGUCUCUGUUACACGUAUAGUAUACAUAAUUUCUGCUGCUAGGAGUCUGUCGAUCAGAACAAAACAAAAGAGUAAGUGGCGUGAGAUCAUGGGAGUUGUCCUCAUUGAACAUUCAAUUACUGAUGAAAAUCUGUCUCUGUGACUCGGGCAGAAACGUUUACAGAUGAGGUAAUGUUUUAAGGUUUUAUUCAUGUUUUCUUUGGUUCCUUUUCCAUUCUUCACGCUUAUCGUUACCACUCCUCUGCUUUGAACACUGAUGGAAACAUCUGGCAUGAUGGAAAGACACAACUCAACAAAACACAGAACAAUCCCUGGAGGGAUUUUUAGCAUUUUACUGCAGAAUUGUUAAAUAUUGUGUCUUUAAAAAACGUCUGUUGGAUUUGAGGGUUAUCUGCUCCUUGAAGCAGUAGACAUUAUACAACUGAUGUAAGAGAUUCAGUGGGUAAAUGACACAUCCGGUUUGUACAUGUUGUUUGACCAGUCCUGACCGGAUAAAGCCACACCGACUCUUACUUUACAAAUUGUUUUGUUGGCUAUAUUACUGUAUUCAUUCUCUGGAAAGCUUACACAUCUGAACAGCAACAGAACCCCAUAACUGGGGUUGGACUGCAUAUAAUUGUUUGUGCUAGUACUAGAAACAGUCCUUUUAUUGAAUCCUGAGUUCAGUGUUUCUCAACCUUUUUGUUUUGUUUUUAUAUUCAAUCUGAAUUCUCACAAACACACAUACACAGGCAAUGCAAUGUAAAAAAUAUUCCCUGGUCUAGAAUAUAUUGUAUUUUUUUUCUCCACAGCCAUCUGGAGAUACCUUGAAAUUAACUCGUGCCCCAUCUCGACCCCAUGAGCUGAGAACCAAAAAACAUAGUUAAGUGAAAUAAAAACAUGAAUGGAUGAAAUUAGAAUCCAUCUGAUCACAGAAUACUUAAUCUGAGGCAGGCAUCUGCGCCAGCUUUUGGUACUUCACACAUUUUAUUACUGUGUGGACACAUUUCAGUCACCCACUCCAUAACAUAUGAUGGCCCAAUAUGACCAUUCCCCGCACAGCUACCCGGAGAAGGACGCUGUCAGGCUGCGACUCCUUUCAGUCUGAACCCCGGCUCAAAUAGCAAAUUCAAACGAGGUAUCUGAGUUACGUGUGUGGCUGAGUGUGAGUUCCACAUGCCGCAACUACGGCACGCAUAAUAGCACUUACAGGUACAUAUGACUGUGUGUGUGUGUGUGUGUGCGCGCGUGUGUGUGUGUUUGAUUGCACAGUCUACAGAGCGACUGUUAAGGUUUCAGCCAGGAUGAGUCACAGCACUGCAGCGCUCAUCAGUUUCUCCCUUCAUGGAAGAAAGAGUAAAAGUACAAGUUUACAGGCAGAUGUGGGUGAGGAGCAGAAUAAUACACCUUGUUUGGCCUUGUUACGUAUCCUUACAGCAGUCAUCGCUCUUGCUCUGCAUCAGCUCUUAAUUCAUCACACAGCCUCACUUGUGGUGAGCAUCGGGAACGCCUGAUGCUAUUUUAGACAUGAAUGAAUUGAUACGCAAAGUUUAUUUUUCCUGCACAGUGUCACACUGCCUAAGAUGUGAUCUGUGCCAAUGGACUGCAAUCGGAACUUGAACUUGAUCAGAUGCUUUAGUCAGGCUGUGGUUCAGAGGGCUGAAGCUAGAAUCCAUCCUCUGCUGCGUGUAUCCUGGGUAGAUUUCCGAAUGUGGUAUACUCUCAGGUUCAUAUUUUUUAUGUUAGGUGCCUUCUAGGGAAUGUUUACAUGCUUUAAUGUUAGAAAUAUAUCUGCAUUUUUCUCAUACUGUCCAUUGCUGCAGCUCCUCUGUUCACCCUCUGCUCUGUUUCAGCUCCUGUCUCUUUAAAGCCCGCCUCCUGAAAAGCCCAGUCUCUCUGAUUGGUCAGCUCUCACAGUUAUGAGCAGGCACCGCCCACCAUGUUCCUACAUCAGCUCCAAGCCCCCAGGAGGUGCACCAGGUGUGACAGCAUGAUGACCAACAGUAGCAGAGGUGAAGCACUCCCCAGCAGCAUCCACACAGAAGGCACAUGAAAGGCACAUCACUUUAACCAGUUUAGGUAUAAAGGGAAACGAUUAAAAGAUUGAAGUGUUUACA